AGUGAACGCUGGCGGUAGGCCUAACACAUGCAAGUCGAACGGCAGCACAGUAAGAGCUUGCUCUUACGGGUGGCGAGUGGCGGACGGGUGAGGAAUACAUCGGAAUCUACUUUUUCGUGGGGGAUAACGUAGGGAAGCUUACGCUAAUACCGCAUACGACCUACGGGUGAAAGCAGGGGAUCUUCGGACCUUGCGCGAUUGAAUGAGCCGAUGUCGGAUUAGCUAGUUGGCGGGGUAAAGGCCCACCAAGGCGACGAUCCGUAGCUGGUCUGAGAGGAUGAUCAGCCACACUGGAACUGAGACACGGUCCAGACUCCUACGGGAGGCAGCAGUGGGGAAUAUUGGACAAUGGGCGCAAGCCUGAUCCAGCCAUACCGCGUGGGUGACGAAGGCCUUCGGGUUGUAAAGCCCUUUUGUUGGGAAAGAAAAGCAGCAGGUUAAUACCCCGCUGUUCUGACGGUACCCAAAGAAUAAGCACCGGCUAACUUCGUG
rnacentral:rRNA from 1 species